GUGUGAGAUAGAUGCCUAGUGCCAUGCUGAGCUACUUUUCAACAAGCUCUUCUGUUCCGGUAGCAACUGCUGAAAGCAACUGGAUCACACAGCUUUCUUGGCUGAGCUAAGAGACUGAGUGAGGCCCUGAUCUCUUCUGCAGAGCUUGUUUUCCCAGGGCCUCACAGUCACAUGAUUGAGAAGCAACAAGAAAAACACGUGCUGAAGUUCCAUAGAUCAGACAUUCACACUGGAAGCAAAGCCUGAAACUCAGAUUUCCUUCUUUCUGUUUUGAAGUUCCUCUGAUGGGCUGAGCCAGGGCAUUGAGCUGCUUUUUUGCUGUGAAACUGAGUUGUGAAUUGUCCAACCCCACUGAAGUCAAAACUGCUACACAUUUUAACAGAGCAGAGUGUGAUCUGAAGCCUAGAGGGUUCCCAUGGAGCAGUCUCAAUGUUGUUGCAUAUAAGUAGAAAAAAAGAAGUGAUAAUGUAGUGGUUCAUAAAACUACCAAGUUCCUAUAGUGACAGCAAUGACCUGUUUUUGAUCUUCAUAAUAUUAACACUUUGGAACAUUUUUAUAAUUUCCAUUUUCCAAAUAGGAAAAAAAGCAACCUACUGCUAUUCUUUAUCUGGUUGAUAGUUCUUAAGAGAUGAAAAUGGGGAUGGAUGAAUAACUGUAUGACUAUUUGAUUAUUCUUUCCUUUGAUCAUGUACAGACUUAUUUUGCAUUUAUAAUUAAAUUAUAAAUGGGAAUUAUCUGGGAGUUAUCUAGAACAGUCAUUAUCUAGACUGUCAAAAGUGAUGUGAAUUAAUUUUUAUAGAACUGUGCUAAAAGAGGGCUUCUCAUGCAUCUGCUUUAGAUUGGGCUAGAAAUAUUAACAACAAAAAAUAGCUUAAAACUGCUACUAAGGAGUAUAUUUCCCUUUAUAAUAAUCUAAUAAACCAGAGUUCUAUACCCAUUUAUAUAAGCACAGAGGGGUUAUGAAGAGCAGUCUCCACGUUUGAUGGACAACUAUUUGGAUAGGAUAGCAUCUUUAACGAACAGCAGUGUUUUGUAAAUCAUUUACAUGUGUAUUAAUAUUUACCUAUCCCUAUCUUUGUUCUCCACACUCUGCUGAAUUUACUACUAGACUGAUAACCACAUGGAGAAGAAUGGUUUGGGCAAAGAGGAAAAUAACCAUUUUAUAAAGGAGUUGCUUGUUCUAGCUGGUUGUUUUCUAUCCUUUAGUGCUAGUAAAUAAACAACAGAAUUUGUGUCAGCAAAUCUGAUGAACACUAAGUAGAAGCCAGAAGUCUGCAUUCGUAUUGACUGUAAGUUCAGCAAAGCCAAAGUAUUUGUAGUAGAAUGCAGCAGAGAAGAGGGUAUAUUUUCUUAUAUCUCUGUUUUAAUUUUUAUUUCAGUAGUCUUUUAUGUUCAAGUUAACUGCAAUUUUAAUCUAGCAGACAUUUUCAGGUGAAAUUUUUGAGAUUACAUCUGUGAUAUUUAGUAGGUUGAAAACCAGCAUCAGAGCAUGAUUUGCUGUAACCUUUUUUUACAGUGACCUGAGGCAGUCUGACAUUUACAUCAAAGCUAGACACUGUGGCUUUGGGAAAGGCUGCCCUUAAUUCUUUUGGAAAAAAGAAAGGCACCCAAUCACAAAUAUUUCAAGAACUGCUUUUGAAUGAACCCUCAGAAGACAGAAGACAGUGGAGACCGGGAUAGAUCUCAUGAGUGCCUUCAUUCAGUAGUAAUAGCAGUAGUGCCUGUAAGUAGUGCCUAGGAAGACAAAAAAUCUUCAUCCCACGACCCACAACGCAUGCGCAAAUGGUACAACUGUCUAAAUAAUGAGCAGCUAGCUUCUUCUAGAGAAAACUGAAAGACAGAGUCAAGGGAUUUACUGAAGUCUAAGUAGAAUACAUCAAAAGCCUUUUCCUCACCCACUAGAUGGGUCAUCUGGUGAUAGAAAGAGAUCAGGUUAGUCAAGAAGAACCCAUGCUGACUGAGCCUCAUUCCCCGGUUGUCCCACACAGGCUAUUUGAUCACGCUUUUGAUGAGCUGCUCCGUCCCCUUCCCCAAUACUGAGGUCAGGCUGACAGGCCUUUGGUUCCCUGGAUCCUCAGAUAAAUAUAACACUAUCUAUAAUGAUUAAUCUUAAAUGUGUCCAUGGUUACAAGCCACUGUUAGAACCCAGAUGCUGAAUCUAGGAUUAUUCUUGACGAGGAAAGCAAUCCUGCUCAGACAGUUAAGCUCCUGUCUGUAAUUUUGUUUUUUUCUCCCCAAAGAUUAGGACACUGAAAAUUGGUUGGUUUGUCUCAUUGAUGGAUAACUAAGACAUUUUAUUAACUUCUCUUUCAGGUGCCUAGAGACAAACAAUUCCCACCUUUCUGUUGACCUUAAAGAAAUAUUAACCUCAAAGCUCACUUUUGGUUGCUUGUGUCUGGUGUCACUUUGGCAUCAGUUUGGGUAGUUAGGGGUGUCUUUGCCACAGCUAAGCAGAUGCUAUACACCUAUUUUCCCUGGCUUUGUUACACUCUUAAGAAACAGCUACCUUGUGUCUUGAGGAGUCUUGUGAGAUAAGAGAAGAAGUGGUCACUUCAGAGAAUGCUGUAAGUGUGGGGGAAAAAAAAAAAAGAAGAAAAAUAAAGGAU